rnacentral:rRNA from 1 species
GACGAACGCUGGCGGCGUGCUUAACACAUGCAAGUCGAGCGGUAAGGCCCUUUCGGGGGUACACGAGCGGCGAACGGGUGAGUAACACGUGGGUGACCUGCCCUUAGCUCUGGGAUAAGCCUGGGAAACUGGGUCUAAUACCGGAUAUGACUCCAUGACGCAUGUUGUGGGGUGGAAAGCCUUGUGCGGCUAGGGAUGGGCCCGCGGCCUAUCAGCUUGUUGGUGGGGUGAUGGCCUACCAAGGCGACGACGGGUAGCCGGCCUGAGAGGGCGACCGGCCACACUGGGACUGAGACACGGCCCAGACUCCUACGGGAGGCAGCAGUGGGGAAUCUUGCGCAAUGGGCGAAAGCCUGACGCAGCGACGCCGCGUGAGGGAUGACGGCCCUC